UGGUCUGAUAGCUCAGUUGGUAGAGCACUUGAUUGAAGCUCAAGGGUGUCGGCAGUUCAAAUCUGUCUCGGACCAU
rnacentral:tRNA from 1 species